AACAUCGCGCACCUGCGGGAACCUGCGGAGGGAUCAUUAAUGAUUGGUGGCUGUUGCUGACUAGUGUUUCUAGUAUGUGCACGCCACACCUUCAAUCCCACUUACACCUGAGCACCUUCUGUAAUAGAUCUAUGUGGAUACGGAGAUAUGAAAGUUUGCGCUCUCGUACUCUGUUGAAGCAGUCUACUACGUUUUUUUACACACACACAAUAGUCAUUGAAUGUAUUUUUUAUUCUUAUG
rnacentral:misc_RNA from 1 species